rnacentral:rRNA from 1 species
GGACCCGCACAAGCGGUGGAGCAUGUGGUUUAAUUCGAUGCAACGCGAAGAACCUUACCUGGCCUUGACAUCCCAGGAACCCUGCAGAGAUGCGGGGGUGCCGCAAGGAACCUGGAGACAGGUGCUGCAUGGCUGUCGUCAGCUCGUGUCGUGAGAUGUUGGGUUAAGUCCCGCAACGAGCGCAACCCUUGUCCUUAGUUGCCAGCAUUCAGUUGGGCACUCUAAGGAGACCGCCGGUGACAAACCGGAGGAAGGUGGGGAUGACGUCAAGUCAUCAUGGCCUUUAUGGCCAGGGCUACACACGUGCUACAAUGGCAGAUACAGAGGGAAGCCAACGCGCGAGCGGGAGCCAAUCCCAGAAAAUCUGUCGUAGUCCGGAUCGGAGUCUGCAACUCGACUCCGUGAAGUCGGAAUCGCUAGUAAUCGCAGAUCAGCAUUGCUGCGGUGAAUACGUUCCCGGGUCUU